CCCCUUCUUUGCGAUUAACAAUGAAAGCUCAUAAGAAACUUGGGUACUUGUUAUGUUUUGUUUUGAAGAUUUUUCCAUGACUGAUUUAGUCAUAGAAAGAUUUUUUUUCUUGAUUUGAAAAAAAUCGAGAGAUUUUCCUACAUAUUCAGGAUGUUUAGUUGAUAGAUGCCUUUCAAGUUUUGAAAAUUUCAUACAUUCGUUGGAUAGCGUUUAGAAACAAAUCACACACUGCGGCAUAGGCUCCUCCUCAGUACCAAAAAAUACAAACCCGAUUUUUAAAAAGUCAGGGUCAUACUUACGAAAAUAUAUUUUAGUUUUCUUUGUUAUAUUCAAACUUGACACAUCAACAAUCUCACUACUAGUAGUUCCACUACUACUAGUUCCUUCAUCAUUUGACAGCUUCGUCUUACGACAAGAUCCAGUUCGAAACCAAGUAUCCAUAUUUACGUGUAGCGUAAUUAAUAAUAUGUACUAUGACACUAUGUAGUAUUAUAUGUAGUAACUCACAGCAGACACAACGACGCAUAAACACACAACCACUGUCGCAAAAUAACUAGUUUACCAAUUUACG